AGUGAACGCUGGCGGUAUGCCUAACACAUGCAAGUCGAACGGCACCUCAGUAAGAGCUUGCUCUUACGGGUGGCGAGUGGCGGACGGGUGAGGAACACAUCGGAAUCUACUUUUUCGUCGGCGAUAACGUAGGGAAACUUACGCCAAUACCGCAUACGACCUACCAUUGAAAUCAGUGCAUCUUCGGACCUUGCGCGAUUGAAUCUGCCCUUGUCGGAUUAGCUAGUUGGCGGGGUAAAGGCCCACCAAGGCGACGAUGCGUAGCUGAUCUGAGAGGAUGAUCAGCCACACUGGAACUGAGACACGGUCCAGACUCCUACGGGAGGCAGCAGUGGGGAAUAUUGGACAAUGGGCGCAAGCCUGAUCCAGCCAUACCGCGUGGGUGAAGAAGGCCUUCGGGUUGUAAAACCCUUUUGUUGGGAAAGAAAAGCAGCAGGUUAAUACCUCGCUGUUCUGACGGUACCCAAAGAAUAAGCACCGGCUAACUUCGUG
rnacentral:rRNA from 1 species